GGGCGCUUGGUCUAGGGGUAUGAUUUUCGCUUCGCAUUUCGGGUGUAAUCCGGAGGCUGAUUGUGAAAGGUCGUGGGUUCAAUUCCCACAGUGUCCA